rnacentral:misc_RNA from 1 species
ACCUGGAGAAUAGAAGAAAAAAGUAAACUCAAAAUAGUAAUUAUCGGCCUGAAGGAUCCGCAUGGAGAUUUUAACAUAACUGAACUUAACGAGAAAUUUAAAAAUAAAAGUAAAGAACGUGAAACGAGAUCAUUCGGAAAGGUGACAGUCUGGGCACUUACCUAUGCGAAGUCAAGGCUAUCAAACUGACUCAGGAGAUCAUGAAUAUUGUUGCGUUGCAGGCAGGCGAUAUAGGGACCAAUGUUCACUUUGAGAUUUCAAGAGCCAAGUUGAGAUACAG